CAACUGGGAUUGCCCUAGUAACGGCGAGUGAAGCGGCAAUAGCUCAAAUUUGAAAUCUGGCUUCCUUUGGGGGUCCGAGUUGUAAUUUGCAGAGGGUGCUUUGGCGUUGGUAGCGGUCUAAGUUCCUUGGAACAGGACAUCGCAGAGGGUGAGAAUCCCGUUUGUGGUCGCAUGCCUUCGCCGUGUAAAGCCCCUUCGACGAGUCGAGUUGUUUGGGAAUGCAGCUCUAAAUGGGAGGUAAAUUUCUUCUAAAGCUAAAUACUGGCCAGAGACCGAUAGCGCACAAGUAGAGUGAUCGAAAGAUGAAAAGCACUUUGGAAAGAGAGUCAAACAGCACGUGAAAUUGUUGAAAGGGAAGCGCUUGCAGCCAGACUUGCCCGUAGUUGCUCACCCAGGCUUUUGCCCGGGGCAUUCUUCUGCGGGCAGGCCAGCAUCAGUUUGGGCGGUCGGAUAAAGGCCUCUGUCACGUAUCUUCCUUCGGGAUGACCUUAUAGGGGAGGCGACAUGCGACCAGCCCGGACUGAGGUCCGCGCUUCUGCUAGGAUGCUGGCGUAAUGGCUGUAAGCGGCCCGUCUUGAAACACGGACCAAGGAGUCUAACAUCUAUGCGAGUGUUUGGGUGUCAAGCCCGAGCGCGUAAUGAAAGUGAACGGAGGUGGGAACCCUUGGGUGCACCAUCGACCGAUCCUGAUGUCUUCGGAUGGAUUUGAGUAAGAGCAUAGCUGUUGGGACCCGAAAGAUGGUGAACUAUGCUUGAAUAGGGUGAAGCCAGAGGAAACUCUGGUGGAGGCUCGCAGCGGUUCUGACGUGCAAAUCGAUCGUCAAAUUUGGGCAUAGGGGCGAAAGACUAAUCGA
rnacentral:rRNA from 1 species